rnacentral:snRNA from 2 species
AUACCUUUCUAGACGUUUUUCGCUAAGAUCAAGUGUAGUAUCUAUUUCUUAUCAGUUUAAUAUAUGAUAUAUGGGUCAUUGAUCCACACGAUAUCAACUAAUCUUUUUGAAGUGGAGGUCCACCCCGGUAGUUUGCUAUCGGGACCUUCAAAUGUUGCCUUGACAUUGCACUACUGCCUUGUCGGGCACACCGCCA